rnacentral:tRNA from 1 species
AGGAAGCAUGCAAGAACUGCUAACUCAUGCCCCCGUGCCUACGCCCACGGCUUCCUC